UGGGGGCGAACCCUGAUGCAGCACGCCGCGUGAAGGAGACGGCUUCGGGUUGUAACUCUUUCUGGGGGAAGACUCAGACGGUACCCCAGGAAUCAGACACGGCUAACUACGUGCCAGCAGCCGCGGUAAUACGUAGGUGUCAAGCGUUAUCCGGAAUUACUGGGCGUAAAGGGCACGCAGGCGGUCUGACAAGUUCAGCGUGAAAGCUCCCGGCUUACCCGGGAGAGGUCGUUGAAAACUGCCAGACUUGAGACAGAGAGAGGAAGGCGGAAUUCCCGGUGUAGUGGUGGAAUGCGUAGAGAUCGGGAAGAACACCAGUGGCGCAAGCGGCCUUCUGGCUCUGGGCUGACGCUGAGGUGCGAAGGCGUGGGGAGCGAACGGGAUUAGAUACCCCGGUAGUCCACGCGGUAAACGAUGUGAACUAGGUGUAGGCGGAGAGAUUCGUCUGUGCCGCAGCCAACGCCCUAAGUUCACCGCCUGGGGAGUACGGUCGCAAGGCUA
rnacentral:rRNA from 1 species